rnacentral:lncRNA from 1 species
GCCGCUUCGCUCCCGAGCAGGCGGCGGCUCGUCGGCAGACGCCGGCAGCGAGCCCGGCCCUGACCACCUCUCCGGCCACCAGACGCGUACAGAGCCGAGCCCCACAUCGACAUGCGGCGGGCACCUCUGCACGACAGGGAGUGCCACCUCAGCAUGGGGUGCGUGCUACGCGCGCAACGAGAAUAACGAGGGCCCAAAGCGAAAUGGUGAGGGCCUUGACUGAGAGGAACAACUGGAAAAAGUUCCGGGAGUACUCUCAGGCCGAGGUUUUACGUAUUUGUUCCGAUUUCGGAAUAACUACACUGGCGCUCAAAAACUGCAUCUCUUCUCUACACAGGCGAAAAAGAAAAGCUGCCAUAGCAGCAAUAGAUCAACACUAGGGUUUUCGUUUUAGUUUUUUUUCUCAGUUCCUAGGUUUAAAGGGAACUAGAGUUUGUCGUGUAAUAGAUGCAUUGUAUGUACUGAGAUGUAUACAUCUCUGAUUUACAAUCCGUCUUUUUUUCUAUUCAAGUAAGAGCUUAGGGUCUUAACUUAUUCAUUCAACUGAAAUUAGAUCUUGUCGUUUAUAUCGUUGGAAAAGUUGCAGAAUCCGUUGCAAACGGACAUUAACUAAGGUAGGACUAAACGGAAAGUACUUGUUGAGUAGUUAUCCUACGAACUCUCUAACUCCUAUAAACGGCAAGGCCGUUAGUUUCUUGCCAUUUAAGGUAAUAACUAAAUUGAUUGAAUAUUUGCAGACAAAAUUUUAGUGUCUUUUAACUCCGACGAAACCCAUUAUUUCUUUGUGCAUAUGUCGAACUCUGAAUAAAACCCUAUUUUAGCUUUGCUGAUAGGGCAACAGUAAAUUUAAGCUUCGAGACAACACGCAUAAAAGGUUGGUAUUUAUAAGUUUCUGCCGCUUUUUAAUACACUGCUUAUUCGUGUGCUUACCGUUACAUUAACCGUACAAGAUUUUUUCGGGAUUUUCUUCGACAUAACUCAUCAGUAAGUUAUUAUGUUUUAUUUUCUAAAAGUAAUUGUCUCUAGGCAGUCAUUAAUGUAGUGUACGGAAAUUGACGAGGCGACUCUAAAUGACCGGAAAAUGUGUAACAAUUAAUCAGUUAGCUAAGAUCUAAGACCGCAUAAUUUAUAACCUUUUCCCCAUGCAUGCAAUCAUAUAACACGGAAGAUAAGGCACCUUACGACUGUAAUUGUAAUAAUGAAAUUCAUUUAUAUAAGUUAAUCUAAAACUGGGAAUAAAAGAUAGAACGAAAAGAAAGCAGACCUGCACAAACGGGAGCAGUACCAAAUUAAGAACUUCAUCGGGAGCUCGCCUAAAGCAUCUGGCUCAAGAAGCUGUACAAAAUUACGUAACAAAAUCUCGUAGAUAUGAAAGAGCAGAUAUAGAAACCGAUAGAAGUAUGACGACUAAGGUUAAAUUAACUUUUAAUUGGAUAAGAGUACGAAGGGUCAAUUAGCAUAUUUACGGCAACUGCACAAUCAACAAAAAUUUAAUCGUGUUGAGAAGAUUAAAAAAUCUUGGUAUGAGCAAAUUGAUCGGAUGCAAAGGCGAUUAAAAAUUAAAUUUGUAUCCCUGUUCGUUUCAUAUAAAAAUCAUCGAUAGAUUUCAAUUUAAGCUCUCCCUUCGUUAUAGAUAGUUCCAGCCAACAAAAUCUAAAUAUAGAUACGACAAGAUCGCCAACAUAGAAAUUUCGGGAAAAAAAAAAUAUCCGACGUACCUGAUACGAUUUUUCAACUCGAGUUCAAAUAAAAAUACGCCUAAUUCAAUGAUAUUUUAGUUUCUAUCUCCACGUGUAUGAACUGAAGUUCCGGUGUAAGAAUUAAGUUUAUCUAACUUUUUCAUUUGAAGCCAAAUAAUUACGAGUUGCAUAAAAAACCGAACUUUCGUCGAUCCAGCAACAUGUUCCUCCUAAAUUCGAUUCCAGUUCUUAACUAGGCUUUAUACAAGACUGUUAUAGGUGAGCAUAAUUUGCCAUAAUAAUAAUAAAAACCUCAAUCAAACACAAAGAAAACCAUCAAUAUUUUCAUUUUUAUUUUCCUUUUUCAUACAAACAUAAUUAAGUAUAUAUAUUAAUAAUAAAUAAAUUAUAAGGAAAAGGAAAUACAAAAGGAAAAGGAAAGAGAAAAUUACUUUUGGGGAAGGAAAUUGUUCUUGGAGAGGCAGGACUGAAUAUUGCAAGCUUGUUUCUUACAUGGCUCUUUACUCGGCUGCCCCAUUUUACCAAACCCUAAUCCUCUUUGCUCGGGUUUUGAUCGUCGCCAUUUGGAUAUCUUGGGCUUCUCAUUCCACUGGGCGGAGACGACUUGCAAAUUCCCGCACUCUCCACCACACACACGAGAAUCCUUAGCAACCAUCAUCAUGCGAUAGGAGCUUGUCUUUUCUGGAAAAGCAGCAUCCACAUUAAUCUUGAUCGUCCCCAUGGUGAAGGUUUCCAAACCGUUUCCUAGAGCUCAAAUGUCUACUCCCCAUGCAAUAUUUGGUUACGACGAUCUCCGUCAGCAUACAACCACUGCCACCAAGAACGAUGCAACGGAAGUCGAAAUCCUAGUCAUGUACAAGAAGUGUAUGCACAACCACGCAGCCUCCUACAUACUCCAAGUCGUGUAAUAAGAGGGCACGAAAUAUAGAUAAUCCCACAUGCCCAACUCUACAUUUAAUAUUUUUUAAUUUCAUGAUUCAAAGUUUUUGUGUUCAUUCCAUAUUCCUUAAAUUGAUUGAAUUUAGAUUUAACAAAUAGCCAAACAAUAGUUUGUUUUACAAACUUAUAUAUCAAUGUCAUAUACAAUGCACAAAUUCUGCACUAAUGAACUUGGGCACAAAAUUAGCACUAAUGAACUUGGCACAAUUCCUGCACUAAAGAAAAAAAAAAGACAGUCUUAAAUGAAUUACACAUAUUCUUAUUCCUUGACAAAUAAACCGAUCAAAUGCCAUUUUUCUUACAAGAACCAAAUAUACUGAAGGGGGCAACUAUUUUGAAUACUAAUUUUUGCUUAGUUGAAUACUACCUAGUUGAAAACCACAAUUGAGUACAUAUUUAUAAGUUUUUUCUUACUUUAAUACCAAAAUAAAAAUAAAAGUACAAAAAUACCCUUUCAUACAAAAUACUAAUUACAUCAAUUUUUCUUUGAAAUUACCUACUUGAAAACCAAAUAAAAAAAAAAAGAAAAAAGAAAUUCAAACACAAAAAACCUCCCUCCGUCCACGCCGCCCGCCGCCGCCGCUCCAACCAUCGCCGCCGCCGGACGCCGACGCCAAACACCGCCGAACGCCGCCCAACGCCGCCCAACGUCGCCCAAAGCCGCCGCCGUCGUCGUCUUCGAAUAGUAAGUUAUAGUUGUUUCGAUUUUUUUUUCUUUAAUAUUUAUUUAAGAUUUGAUUGUUUGAUAUGGGUAAUUAGGAUUUGGUUGUUUUAGGUUAGAAUGAUCGUUAAUUAGUAAUGAGUGCAUCUGAUUUCAGUCGAUUUGAGCAUUGAUUUGAGAUUCGUGGGUCGGUUCUUCGUUCACCAUUUUCGACCUGUAUAUGUCGAUUUUCGAUGAAUUUUCGACAGGUUGAUGUCGAAAAUUCAUCCAAAAUCGACAUGUAGAUGUCGAAAAUGGUGAAAUUGUUGUAUCAGUUCAAAUUCGACAGCUAGCUGUCGAAUUUGAACUGUGAAUUUUUUUUUUUUUUUUUUUUUUUUUUUCGACACUUAAGGGUAUUUUCGACACAUACACGUCGAAAAAUAAGGGUAUUUUCGACCUGUAUGUGUCGAAAAUACAUGGCGAGUUUUAAAAAAAAAAAAAUUUCAAAAUCAAUGUUUUAGCUCAAAAAAUACAUGAAUACAUACUUGAAUGGGUUCUCCUUGCUCGUAAACUACUAUUCUAUUGUCAUUUGAGGCCAUUUUGCAAGUUGUGUAAGGUUUUGAUUUCUUUUGUUUUGGGGUUUUUUAGGAGGGUUUUUGGGGAGGGAGAAGAAGGAGGUGGAGGAGGUGAGGGGUUUGGGAGUGAGGAGAGAAAUGUUUUUUUUAGGUUUUUUAUUAUUUGGUUUUUAAGAAAGAAAAAUAGUAUUUGUAAUAUUUUUUUGGUUUUAAUUUUCAUUAAGGGUAUUAAAGUAAUUUACAAUUAAUUAUUUAAUUUCUAUUUUUUUGGUAUUCAACUAAGCAAAAGUUAGUAUUCAAAAUAGUUGUCCCCUAUACUGAAAGCUCGCUAAAAAGGAAGUUUAAUUUCUAGAGCUCGCUCAAAUGUUUCAUCAUAAAGAAAUCUAAAAGCACGAUCAAUUGCACGUAAAAAUUGAAUUGCGCUCUCAACACUCAUUUCACUGUCAAUAUAAACUCACCACUCCAUCUCAUUUCAUUUCACUCACCAUCUAAAAUACACAUUAUGCAGUAAAAAAAAAAACAUUCUUGAAAGAGUGCAUGUUGCACAACCAUGCAGCCUCCAAUGGAGGAUCCCGCGAGGCCAUGCUCUGUGCCGCCUGCGCGGGGGCUGCGACUACAAAGAGAAUAACGAGGGCCCAAAGCGAAAUGGUGAGGGCCUUGACUGAGAGGAACGACUGGAAAAUGUUCCGGGAGUACUCUCAGCCUGAGGUUUUAUGUAUUUGUUCCGAUUGCGGAAUAACUACACUGGCGCUCAAAAACUGCAUCUCUCUACACAGACGAAAAAGAAAAGCUGCAAUAGAUCAACACUAGGGUUUUCAUUUUAGUUUUUCUUUUAGUUCAUAGGUUUAAAGAGAACUAGUGUUUGUUGUAAUAGAUGUGUUGUAUGUACUGAGAUGAUACCUCUCUUCAUUUUCCUUGUCCAAAAUUCAACUAUACUAAUUAAAUUAUGAUAGAGCGAGCCGGCACUGCACUUAUAUUGCUCAUAUAACUAAAAACGAAUUUCUUCAAACCAUUCUAAUACACUAUUAUAAUUUAGUCUUUAAAAUCAAAAAAAAAAAAUCAUUUAGGCCAAACAUCUCUAGCAUGUGAACCUAAGAAGUUGUUGGUUAUAGAAACAAAAUACAUACCGAUAAAUAAAAAAAAAAAAAAAAAAAAAAAAAAGAGACCAAAUAAAAUAACUUCAAUAGCUCCAAACUCACACCAAAAAUGCACAUAACAAGAUAUACUAUAUGCACAAAUUCUGCACCGAUCAUAAAAUACAAUUUUUUUCAGCUACUCUUGCUCAACUUUUAUGAGAAGACCAAGAAAUGAAUUGCGCAAAAAGUGGUAAAAAAAAUGCACUAACCUUGUCAUACGAACCUAACUCAUUCCCUUUCGUUAUCAUCUUCUUCUGCUCUUGAAAUGACUACCAAUAACGUACAACAAUAACCAAAGAAAGUUCUCCUGCACGUAAGAAGAGGAUAACGAGGGCAUAAAGUAAAACGGUGAGGGCUCUGUCUGAGAGGAACGACCGGAAGAUGUUCCGGGAGUACUCUCAGGCGGAAGUUUUACGUAUUUGUUCCGAUUUCGGAAUAACUAAACUGGCGCUAAAAAAUUGCACUCUCAACACAGGCGAAAAAGAACAGCUGCAAUAGAUCAACAAUAGGGUUUUCGGGGUUUUUUUUCUUUGUUUUUUUUCAGUUCCUAGGUUUAAAGGGAAGCUAGCGAAAUUAAGAUAGAGCGGGCAGUGCACUAAUAUUGCACAUUGCGCUAAUAUUGCACAGUAUAACUAAAAACAUAUUACUUCUACCAUUAUUACAAUUCCGUCUUGGGACUAUUCACAAUCAAGAAACGAAAUCAUUCGUACCAAACACCACUAUCUAGCAGCUUGUUAACCUAGACAGACUACAAGUGUUGUACAAGCAAAAUAUGACGAUCACUACCAAUUAAAAACUAAUUCAAAUUAUCUUGGUUACUCUGUUUGGAGUUAAUAUUAUCACAGCUUCGUUCACCUAGAAUUCCCAAAUCGAACUUCCAAUUUAUUUACUCUCGACAUUUCUAUUUACGCAGCCACAUGCUAGGUUAUUCUAUAUCAGUAUCUCUAACAGAGGAGUUACCAAAAUCAUACGCCAAUGAAUCAUUUCCUAAGAUUGUUUAUUCACAAAUAAUAAGUUAAUCUUACAACAUAACCAAUCUAACAAAGUCGGGAGAAUAUCAAGAAGACGUACCGAUAGAUCAUCAAAUUCGUUCAAGAAAAGGCAAACGUGUGGUAAUUUUUACUACGGAAUUUCUUGUUGCUAGCUGCUUCAAAGGAUUUGAUGUAGGCAUGAUUUGAAUGCUAAGAAGAUAAAGGCAAGCACUGGAAAACCUAGAAUAAGUAAUAGUUACUACAAUACGAACUAAUAAAUGUUUGCAUGUAUGUACGUUUAUCUAUAUUAGCGAAUCAGAUUUCGAGAUAUUCAUGCUUUAGAGACGUACCCGAGUUAUUUCUACAUUCCUCACUUCCUUGUACAUCCUUUAUCAUUCUCAUCAACAAUGCCAAAAACCAAUUAUUCAUUGGUAUCGACUUUGAAUAUCUGCAUAUCGUAAAUCAUAUAUUUACACCAAAUGAAUGAGAAAAUUCAAAUAUACAAUCUUAGUAUGUUUAGUACAGAGGAUCAAGAACUUACUUAUCUUACAUUCUGCCAACAGCUGUAAAAUGAAAUAUUGUUAAACGAGGCAAAAAGACAGUUAAAUAGAACAAAAGGUGAAACGAAAAUGGAUAUUAUAUUAUAAAUGUAAUAGUUAGCAAAAAAGAAAAAAAAAUUGAAAAUUAAAAAUCGAAUCGAUAAUUGGAAUCUCGUAUAUAAUCCAAUUCCUACAAAAACAAAUACAAAUUUUGCAAACAAAAAAAAUCAAAAUGAAAAAUAUUGUUCUAAAAUAAAAAUAUUAAAAUUUAAUAUACGUGGAUCGAAUUAGAGGAAAAUUUAAAAGUUCGUUAUAAUCUUCAUCCUCAUUUAAACAUCUCUUUAACUACUAUAAUUGUAUUGCUCAAAAAAACAUUAUUCUUAAUUGCAAUAAGGUUCGGAAGUUAAGAACGGUCGGAGUUAUUCAAAGAUGACGGAUUUUUUCGACCGAUAACAUGUUGCAUUUAUUUAUUUGUUUCCAAUCUUUAAGGUUAAACUAAAUAGUAAUUAAUACGUAUAAUCAAUGAUGAUGCUUAACGGAUUUACGAUUUACACUAGCCAAAACCACGUGGCUGCGUGUCCCUAGUGAUCAUGAGAGCUUUUCGACAUAAAUGGUAAAUUUAACGAACAACGUAAAUACCGACCAACGGUUUAUAGUUUAGGCGGCAAAAUAUUAUUUACCCUAAUAAGGGUUUGUCAUUCCAACGGUCAUUUAUUUCUUGUUUUCACGAUAACGAACAAUAUCUUAAUCAGUCGACAUUUACCUACAAAUAUUUACAAUAAGAAGUAAAAAAAUGAGUAAAAUUGCAUGAGAAAACAUUUACCCACAAAUAUUAUAUUUGACUGUUAUUAAGUCAAAAUCAUAGAUUACUGACUUACUGUAAUACAAAAUGUUAUAAUGUUUUCAUGAUUGUGACGUCAUAAUUAAAUGAAAUUAAUAAAAUCUGAUCCUGUAAAGUUAUUUUUGACUGCAAAAUCAAUAUUUAUGCCUUACUAUUCAUAACUCAAAAUCUGAGUCUUAAAUAUGAUUUUAAAUUAUAAAAUAUAUUCGUUUGAAUUUUAUAUAGAAAGUAAAUAGAGUGAAUACAUAUAUAUUAUGAUCCUGAAUAGAAUUUAAUAAAAGUCUAUGUUAUGGAUUACAACUCCAGAAUAAUGAAAAUUUUGUUUAUGGAUUUAUUAAUUUUACUAUUUUCUGAAGAUUAAUCAUAAUUAAUGGAUUUUUCUUUUCUUAUUCUAAGUUUUGCAUCUUAAUAUAAAUGUAAUUAAAUAAUAAGCACAUGAGUUUACUCUAUGCUACAUAUAAUUUAAUCCAGGUGCAAUCCAACCAAAUUUGGGAAAAUUUUAAAUUGGAUUGUUAAAUGUUUAAUAAAAUUACUUUUAAGAAAAAGAAAAAGAAACAGAAAAUCCCAUUUCAGUAUUUAAGUAAGUAAAUCACUAAAUCUGGAAUACAGAUAUCAAGAAUUGAAAUCCAAUGUACAUAAUCCAAAAAAUAGAGGAAUAAGAUUACACCUCAACCCUCAUUUCACUCUCUAUAUAAACUCACCACUACAAUGUUUCAUUUCACUCACCGUGAAAAGAACACACUCUGCAGUCAGCAAAAAAAAAAAGAAAAAAAGAAAAAAAGAAAGAAAAUUCUGCAUUCUUGAAAAGAAAUGGCCAAUGACAAUGCAGUGAAAGUGGAAAUGCUAGUCAUGUACAAAGAGUGUAUGCACAACCAUGCAGCCUCCACCAGAGGAUUCCUCCUCGAUGGCUGCGGCCUCUUCGAGACCCCUAGCGGCACCACCACCGGGUCCCGCGAGGCCAUGUUCUGUGCUGUCUGCGGCUGCCACCGCAACUUCCACCAGAGAGUCGCAGUUGAAAUUCCGCAACACCACCGCUCCUCCUCCAUCCGCCACCACCACCACCAACAACAGCCCGCCUCGCACCCCGACCAACAACAACAACAACAACAGCCCGCCUCGCACCCCGACCAACAACAACAGCCCGCUUUGCACCCACACCAACCACAACAGCCAGCCUCGCACCCCGACCAACAACAACAGCCCGCCUUGCAUCCCCACCAACCGCAACAGCCCGCCUAGCACCACCACCACCACCGUUUUGGUGGAGGCAGCGGCAGAGGCACCAUGAUCAUUCGCCGCGAACCAGCCUCUGCACCAGGCCGCUUCGCUCCCGAGCAGGCGGCGGCUCGUCGGCAGAGGCGGGCCCUACCUCGACAUACGGAGGGCACUUCUGCUGCACCACAGGAAGUGCCACUUCAGCAUGGGGUGGGUGCCCCCCGCAGAAAGAGAAUAACGAGGGCCCAAAGCGAAAUGGUGAGGGCCUUGACUGAGAGGAACAACAGGAAAAUGUUCCGGGAGUACUCUCAGACUGAGGUUUUACAUAUCCGAUUUCGGAAUCACUACACUGGCGCUCAAAAACGGCAUCUCUCUACAAAGACGAAAAAGAAAAGCUGCAAUAGCUGCAAUAGAUCAACACUAGGGUUUCCGUUUUAGUUUUUUUUUUUUCGGUUCCUAGGUUUAAAGGGAACUAGAAUUUGUCGUGUAAUAGAUGCAUUGUAUGUACUGAGAUAUAUAGAUCUCUGAUUUACAAUUCGUUUUUUUUUUUUUUUUUUUUUAUUGAAGUAAGAGCAUUGGAUCUUAACUUAUUCAUUCAACUGAAAUUAGAUCUUGUCGUUUAUAUCGUUGGAAAAGUUGUAAAAUCCGUUGCAAACGGACAUAAAAUUAAGGUAGGACUAAACGGAAAGUACUUGUAGAGUAGUUAUCCUACGUACUCUCUAAUUCCUAUAAACGGCAAGGCCAUUAGUUUCUUGCCACUUAUGGUAAUAACUAAAUUGAUUGAAUAUUUGCAGACAAAAUUUUCGUGUCUUUUAAGUUCGACGAUACCCAUUAUUUCUUUGUGCAUAUGUCGAACUGAAUAAAACCCUAUUUGAGCUUUGCUGAUAGGGCAACAGUAAAUUUAAGCUUCGUGACAACACGCAUAAAAGGUUGGUAUUUAUAAAAGCUUUGCUCAUUCGUGUGCUUACCGUUACAUUAACCGUACAAGAUUUUUUCGGGAUUUUCUUCGACAUAACUCAUCAGUAAGUUAUUUUGUUUUCUUUCUAAUAGUUGUCUCUAGGCCGUCAUUAACGUAGUGUUCGGAAAUUGACGAGACGACUCUAAAUGACCGGAAAAUGUGUAAUAUUCACUUAGCUAAGAUCUAAGACCGCAUAAUUUAUAACGUGUUCGGGAGAUAACAUGUUAAUUAAUAUCCCCAUGCUAGCAAUCAUAUAACACGGAAGAAAGAAGAAAAAAAUGCUGACUUGAAUCGACGAUAUGGAAAUUCACUUUUAACAAAUCUAUAUUAAAACUGGGAAUAAAAGAUAGAACGAUAAGAAAGCAAACCUGCACAAAUGGGAGCAGUACCAAAUUAAGAACUUCAUCGGGAGCUCGCCUAAAGCAUCUGGCUCAAUAAGCAGUACAAAAUUACGUAACAAAAUCUCGUAGUUAUGAAAGAGCAUAUAUAGAAACCGAUAGAAGUAUGACGACUAAGGUUAAAUUAACUUUUAAUUGGUUAAGAGUACGAAGGUUCAAUUUACGUGCACUACACGUAAUAACCUUGAUAACAGUCAUUAGCAUAUUUACGGCAACUGCACAAUCAAUGAAAACUUAAUCGUGUUGACAAGAUUAAAACAUCUUGGUAUGAGCCAAUUGAUCGGAUGCAAAGUCGAUUAAAAAAUGAAUUUGUAUCCCUGUUCGUUUCAUAUAAAUCAUCGAUAGAUUUCAAUUUAAGCUCUCCCUUCGGUAUAGAUAUUUCCAGCCAACAAAAUCUAAAUAUAGAUACGACGAGAUCACCAACAUAAGAAUUAAGUUUAUCUAACUUUUUCAUUUGAAGCCAAAUAAUUACGAGUUGCAUAAAAAACCGAACUUUCGUCGAUCCAACAACAUGUUCCUAAACUCGAUUCCAGUUAUUAACUAGGCUUUAUACCAGACCGUAAUAGGUGAGCAUAAUUUGCCAUAAUAAUAAUAAAAAUGUCAUAACAAAAUUCAACAUAAAACUCAGAGGGCAUAGGUGGGACAAUAUCACAAUAUUUUUUUUUUCCUUUUUCACACAAAAAUAAUUAAGUAUAUAUAUUAAUAAUAAUUAAAUUAAUAAAGAAAAGGAAAUACGAAAGGAAAAGGAAAGAGAAAAUUACUUCUUGGAGAGGCAAGCCCGAAUAUCGCAACCUUGUUUCUUACAUGGCUCUUUACUCGGCUGUCCCAAUUUACCAAACCCUAAUCCUCAAAAUUCCCCCCUUUUUGUUUCUCUUUCUUCACUACUUCCAGAAUUGAUCGGUGGCGUGCUACUGUUGAGAAAAUGGCAGUCAAAUCGAAUCGUUGAUGCUGGUUUUCUUUCAAUUUCGUCGAUUUCAGAAUGAUGAAUUACAGAGAUGAUUGAUCUGUGACUGUAUGUAUAAUAGUAGUACAAAAUUUAUUUUAUUUAUAAAAUUUUAUAAGUAAAUUAUAAAAUUUAUUUAUUUAUUAUUUUUUUAAUAAUUAUUUAAAUUAAGAGAGAUAUUGUUUUUGCAAUUUAACGCUUAGAUCAAGGGGCAACUAAAACAAAUCCCAAUUUUUUCUCACUUCAGUAUCUCCAAGUUUAAAACCAUUUUUUAUAGAAGUUUUUACAACUUUUUCUUAGUUUAAAACCAUAAAUAAAUAAAAAAUGCUAGCAAAGUACAAAAAUGCCCUUCAUCAACCAUAAUACAAUUUAUACAAACAAUUUUUUUAUUCCUCACUUCAAUACCAAGGAAAAAAAGAAAAACAAAUCCUCUCUUCUUCUCCCCAAACUCAAAUCCCUUAGAGCAUCCACAAUGGGCUCUUUAAAUGUAUUCUUUGUGUCAGAUUUUAGCCAAUCUUUAAAUUUGGAGAGGAAAAGCUCCUGUAGUGGGAAACUUUAUGCCUCUUCAUAACUCCCCAAAUCUUGAGAAAUGCUAACUAACUCCCCACAGAUAGGAGUGCAUUAACAAACAUUGCGGGGUCUGCUUUUGUUUUAUUUAUUUUUUAUUAUUCAAAUUAUUAUCUUUUUUGCUUUUCUUUUUGUUUUUAUUUCACGGUAUGUACAUUAAGGAAAUAAUGUACUAUUUAAUAAUUGUUUAAAUAAAAAUUACUAAUUACUUCCAUUUAUUUAUACUUAAUUAGCCUUAUUGUAAUAAAAAAACAAUUAACUCGUAAAUUUAAUUUUUUUUUAUUAUUUUCAUGAAUAGAUAAUUUUAUCAUUUCUAAAAUAGUAUUCAUCAAAUUAAUAAUCUUAUUUCAACUCAUUUGUAUUUUUUUGGCUAAUUAAUAUUUAUGUUAUUCGUAAAUUUUUUGAAUCUUUUAAAUAUUAUUUAUAUAUUUAUAGAAUUAAAAAAAUAAAUAUAAUUCAUAAUUAAAAAUAUAUAAAUAUAAUUUCAUAAUUAUAUUUUACUAAUUAAAUAUAUUUUACUAAUUAAAUAUAAAAAAUUAAAAAUAUAAUUUCAUAAUUAUUAUAUUAUAAUGAUUUUUUUUUAUUAAUAUUUAAUAUUUAGGAAGCCAUUGUAAGGAUGCACAAAACCACCUAUUGGAGCAUUUUGAAAUUUGGGGAGUUCUUAAGUGGGGUCCAUAGUUUAGAGAGGAGUAAAAAUGCAUAGGUGGCAUGUGGGGUCCACAGGUUAGGGAGGGAUUGUAGGGAGUACCGCUGUGGAUGCUCUUAAACCCUAUCUUCUUCAUCUUCUUAAAUCCUCCAAAACAUCUCCAAAUUCAAAAAAUCAAAACCUCACAAAACUUAUAAAAUGGAGUUAUAAGACAAUAAUAUGGUAGUAUGUAUGGAAAGAGAACCCAUUAAGGUAAGUAUCGAUGUUUUUUUUGAGCCUCGAAGUCGAUUUGGAAUUUUUUUUUGACCCCGUCGGCAAUUUUCGACACAUACAGGUCGAUUUUUUUGUCAAUUUUCGACACCAACGUGUCGAAAAAAAAUAAAAAAAAAAAAAAACACAAAUUUCGACAGGUAUGUGUCGAAAAAAUACUGUUGGUAAACAAUAAUUUUUUUUUUUUACCAAUAGUGUUUUUCGACACUUGCCUGUCGAAAUUGGGAGAAUUUUCAACAUGUAUGUGUCGAAAUUUGUUUUUUUUUUUUUUUGUUUUUUUUUCGACACGUUGGUGUCGAAAAUUGACCAAAUAAUCGACAUGUAUGUGUCGAAAAUUGCCGACGGGGUCAAAAAAAAAACUUCAAAAUCGACUUCGAAGCUCAAAAAAGACAUCGAUACUUACCUUAAUGUGUUCUCCUUUCAUAUAUACUACCAUAUUAUUGUCUUGUAACUCAAUUUUAUAAUUUUUGUGAGGUUUUAAUUUCUUUAGUUUUGAGAUUUUUUAGAAGGGGUUUUGGGGGAGGGAGAAGAAUGAGGUGGAGGAGGUGAGGGGUUUGUGAGUGAGGAGGGAAAUGGUUUUUUAGGGUUUUUGAUUAUUUGGUAUAUAAGAAAGAAAAAUAGUAUUUGUAAUAUUUUUUUGAUUUUAAUUUUCAUUAAGGGUAUUAAAGUAAUUUACAAUUAAUUAUUUAAUUUUUAUUUUUUUAUUAUUCAAGUAAGCAAAAGUUGGGAUUUGAAAUAGUGAUCCCCUUAGAUCAAACGUCGAAGUACACAUUGGGACAAUUUUUCAAAGGGUUACCCCUCGUACUCUGCCUGAGAAUCACUUUACUCCCUCGUACUCUCAAUUUCAUCGAUUUACCCCAUGUACUUGUACAAUUUCUCAAUACAGCCAUUUCCUUCAACUUUUGACAUUUUUUACUCUGACACCGUUUAGUCAACUCUGUAAAUUACGAAAUUGCCACUGCCUACAACGCGUCGUUUCUCCUCCGUUAAUAUUGUCAUUUCUUCUUCUCCCACCACUUCCCCUUCCAAGAUAUCCCCAAAUUGAACCCCUAACUUAGUAAAAAUUAAGACCCUAAAAUUGAUCGAUUCCACCCACUGCAAAAAAAAAAAUAUAUGAAUGUGUGAAACUUUCUCUUUUCUAAUCUCGAUAGUCAAAAUCGAAAAAAAUCAAUAUUUACGUCAAUAUUUUGACUCUUGACCAAAUGGCGUCAGAGUCAAAAUCGAAAAAAGUUGACGGAGAGGAUUGUAUUGAGAAAUUGUACAAGUAUAAGGGGGUAAAUCGACGAAAUUAAGAGUACAAGGGGGUAAAAUGGUUCUUGGACAUAGUACAAUGAGUAAAGUGGAAUUUACCAUUUUUCAAAUAUAUGAGGCAAAUGAUGCAAUUAGGAGUAGAAAUGGGUAAAGUGGAAUUUACCCUAUUAAAAAUACUAACAAUAUAAAUACCCAUUACAAUUUUCAAUUAUUUACUCGUUAAUUGAAAAUUAAUAAUAUUUGAUUUUUUUUAUAUUAUAAUAUUACUGUGAAUUGGUGAAUAAAUAUUUUUAUUCAAACUAUGAUCAAUAUAUAGGUAAAAGUACAAACUUGAUUCACAUUACUAGUGACACUUUUUUUUUUUUUCCAACUUAUUAUUUGGGAUGUGAUCGUCGCCACUUGGAUAUCUUGGGCUUCUCGUUCCACCGGGCGGAGACGAACUGCAAAUUCCCGAACUCUCCACCAUACACACACGAGAAUCUUUAGCAACCAUCGUCAUGCGAUAGAAGCUUGUUUUUUCUAGAAAAAGUAGCAUCCACAUUAAUCUCAAUCGUCCCCAUGGUGAAGGUUUCCAAACCGUUUCCUCAAGCUCAAAUGUCUACUCCCCAUACAAUAUCUGGUUACGACGAUCCCAUAUCUGCCAGUAUACCACCACUGCCACCAAGAACGAUACAACAACAAUUGAUAUCCUAAUCAUGAACAAGAAGUGCAUGCACAACCACGUUGCAUCCGACAUAAGAGGGCAAGAAAUAUAGAUAAUAAUCCCACAUGCCCAACUCUACAUUUAAUAUUCUUUGAUUUCAUGAUUUAAAGUUUUGUGUUCAUUCCAUAUUCGGUAAAUUGAUUGAAUUCAGAUCUAACAAACAACCAAACAAUAGUUUUUUUUACAAAGUUAUAUAUCAAUGUCAUAUACAAUGCACAAAUUUUGCACUAAUGAACUUGGACACAAAAUUAGCACUAAUAAACUUGGCACAAAUCCUGUACUAAAGAAGAAGAAAAAAACAGUCUUAACUGAAUUACAAUAUUAUUAUUCCUCAACAAAUAAAUCAAUCAAAUGCCAUUUUUUCUCACAAGAACCACAUAUACUGAAAGCUCGCUAAAAAACAAGUCUAAUUUCUAGAGCUCGCUCAAAUGUUUCAUCUUAAAGAAAUCUAAAAGCACAAUCAAUUGCACGUAAAAAUUGAAAUUGCGCUCCCAACAUUUAUUUCACUGUCAAUAUAAACUCACCACUCCAUCAUUUCAUUUCACUCACCAUUUAAACUACACAGUCUGCAAUCAAAAAAAGAAAAAAAAAUGCAUUUGUGAAAAGAAAUGGCGACUGACAAUGUAUUGAAAGUGGAAGUGCUAUACAAAGAGUGCAUGCAUCACAACCAUGCAGCUGAUCUCGCGAGGCCAUGCUUUGUGCCGCCUGCAAGGGGUCGACCCGCGACUCGCGCAAAGAGAAUAACGAGGGCCCAAAGCGAAAUGGUCAGGGCCUUGAGUGAGAGGAAUGACUGGAAAAUGUUCUGGGAGUACUCUCAGGCUGAGGUUUUACGUAUUUGUUCCGAUUUCGGAAUAACUAAACUGGCGCUAAAAAAUUGCACUCUCAACACAGCCGGAAAAGAACACCUGCAAUAGAUCAACAAUAGGGUUUUCGGGGUGUUUUCUCUUUGUGUUUUUUCAGUUCCUAGGUUUAAAGGGAAGCUAGCAAAAUUAAGAUAGAGCGGACAGUGCACUAAUAUUGCACAUUGCGCUAAUAUUGCACAGUAUAACUAAAAACAUAUUACUUCUACCAUUCUAAUUUACAUUAUUACAAUUCCUUCUUCGGACUCUUCACAAUCAAGAAACGAAAUCAUUCGUACCAAACACCACUAUCUAGCAGCUUGUUAACCUAGACAGACUACAAGUGUUGUACAAGCAAAAUAUGACGAUCACUACCAAUUAAAAACUAAUUCAAAUUAUCUUGGUUACUCUGUUUGGAGUUAAUAUUAUCACAACUUCGUUCACCUAGAAUUCCCAAAUCGAACUUCCAAUUUAUUUACUCUCGACAUUUCUAGGUUAUUAUAUAUCAGUAUCUCUAACAAAGGAGUUACCAAAAUCAUACGCCAAUGAAUCAUUUCCUAAGAUUCUUUAUACACAAAUAAUAAGUUAAUCUUACAACAUAACCAAUCUAACAAAGUCAGGAGAAUAUCCUUUAUCAUUCUCAUCAACAAUGCCGAAAGCCAAUUAUUUAUCGGUAUCGACUUUGAAUAUCUGCAUAUCGUAAAUCAUAUAUUUACACCAAAUGAAUGAGAAAAUUCAAGUAUACAAUCUUAGUAUAUUUAGUACAGAGGAUCAAGAACUUACUUAUCUUACAUUCUGCCAACAUCUGUAAAAUGAAAUAUUGCUAAACGAGGCAAAAUAUUAUUUAUGAGGCAAAAUAUUAUGUAGUACCCUAAUAAAGAUUUGUUAUUCCAACGAUCAUUUAUUUCUUAUUUUCGUGAUAUUUGUAGGUAAAUAUUAAAAUCAUAAAUUACUGUAAAACAAAAUGUUAAAAUGUCUUCAUGAUUGUGACGUCAUAAUUAAAUGAAAUUAAUAAAAUCUGAUCCUGCAAAGUUAUCUUUGACUGCAAAAUCAAUAUUUAUGCAUUACUAUCAAAACUCAAAUCUGAGUCUGUAAAAUAAUUUUAAAUUAUAAAAUAUAUUCGUUUGAAUAUUAUAUAUAAAGUAAAUAGAGUGAAUGUAUAUAUAAUUAUAUAUUGUGAGUCUAAGUAUAAUUUAAUGAAAAUCUAUGUUAUGGAUUACAACUCGAGAAUAAUGAAAAUCUUGAUUAUGGAUUCAUUAAUUAAUAUUUUUCAAUUUCAUAAUCCACUAUUUUCUAAAAUGGAUUAACCAUAAUCCAAAAUUUACAAAAAUAAGAUUACACCUCAACCCUCACUUCACUCUCUAUAUAAAGUCACCACUCUCCUUCAUUUCAUUUCAUUCAUCAUCUAAAAAAACACAUUCUGCAGUAAAAAAAAAGAAAAAAUCUGCAUUCUUGAAAAGAAAUGGCCAAUGACAAUGCAUUGAAAGUGGAAAUGCUAGUCAUAUACAAAAAGUGUAUGCACAACCAUGCAGCCUCCACCAGAGGAUUCCUCCUCGACGGCUGCGGCCUCUUCGAGGCCCCUAGCGGCACCACCGCCGGGUCCCGCGAGGCCAUGUUCUGUGCCGUCUGCGGCUGCCACCGCAACUUCCACCAGAGAGUCGCGGUGGAAAUUCCACAACACUACCACUCCUCCCGCUCCUCCUCCGCCUCGCAACUCCACCAACAACAACAGCCCGCCUCCCACCCCCACCACCACCACCGUGGUGGCAGAGGCAACAUGAUCAUUUGCCGCGAACCGGCCUCUGCACAGGGCCGCUUCGCUCUCGAGUAGGCGGCGGCUCGUCGGCAGACGCCGGCAGCGAGCCCCGCCCUGACCACCUCUCCGGCCACCAGACAUGUACAGAGCCGAGCCCCACAUCGACAUGCGUCGGGCACCUCUGCACGACAGGGAGUGCCACCUCAGCAUGGGGUGCGUGCUACGCGCGCAAAGAGAAUAACGAGGGCCCAAAGCGAAAUGGUGAGGACCUUGACUGAGAGGAACAACUGGAAAAUGUUCCGGGAGUACUCUCAGGCCGAGGUUUUACGUAUUUGUUCCGAUUUCGGAAUAACUACACUGGCCCUCAAAAACUGCAUCUCUUCUCUACACAGGCGAAGAAGAAAAGCUGCAAUAGAUCAACACCAGGGUUUUCGUUUUAGUUUUUUUUUUCGGUUCCUAGGUCCAAAGAGAACUAGUGUUUAUUGUAAUAGAUGUAAUCUGUGUACUGAGAUGAUACUUGUCUUUAUCUUCCUUGUCCAAAAUUCAACUACACUAAUUAAAUUAUGAUAGAGCGAGCCGACACUGCACUAAUAUUGCUCAUAUAACUAAAAACGAAUUUCUUCAAACCAUUCUAAUGUAACCAGAAAAACAAAAUCAUUUGUGCCAAACAUCUCUAGCAUGUUAACCUAAGAAGUUGUUGGUUAUAGAAACAAAAUAUAUACCGAUAAAUGAAAAUAUAAGAAAAGAGACCAAAUAAAAUAACUUCAAUAGCUCGAAACUCACACCAAGAAUGCACAUAACAAGAUAUUCUAUAUGCACAAAUUCUGCACCGAUCAACUUGACACAAAAUCAUCGCAGUUUUCUGUUUUUCUCAUGAUGCAAAACAUACUAUUUAUUUUUUUCAGCUACUCUUGCUUAACUUUUAUGAGAAGACCAAGAAAUGAAUUGCGCAAAAGGUGGUAAAAAAAUGCACUAAGCUUGUCAUACGAACCCAACUCAUUCCCUUUCGUUAUCAUGAUCUUCUACUCUUCAAAUGACUACCAAUAACGUACAAUAAUAACCUAAGACAGUUCUCCUGCACGUAAGAAAAGGAUAAUGAGGGCAUAAAGUGAAAUGGUGAGGGCUCUGUCUGAGAGGAACGGCUGGAAGAUGUUUCGGGAGUACUCUCAGGCGGAGGUUUUACGUAUUUGUUAUGAUUUUGGAAUAACUAAAACAGUGCUCAAAAACUGCAGUUUUCAACACAUGGCGAAAACGAGCAGCUGCAACGCUGUUGGCUGCUGAAAAUCAACAGUACGGUUUUAUCUUUAGAUACAUUAAUUUUAAAAUUGAAUGGUUACUUCUUAAGUUUAAAGCAUUGUUGUUUAUACUGUUUAUCAUGACACAGAUUUUUAUAUAUCUUAUCAGAACCAUCUACCAUUCUCUUCAUUUUCAUUGUCCAAAAUUCACAAAAUCAAUAUACAAUUACCUAAACUAAUUAAAUGAGGAUAGAGCGAGCGGCACUGCACUAAUAUUGCACAUUGCACUAAUAUUGCACAGUAUAACUAAAAACAGAUUUCUUGUACCGUUCUACUUUAAUUAUCACAAGUUCGUUCACCUAGGAUUUCCAAAUCGAACUUCCAAUUUAUUUUUUUCUCGACAUUUCUAUUUACGCAGCCACGUGCUAGGUUAUUCUAUAUCAGCAUCUCCAGAGGAAUUACGAAAACGAUACGCUAAUGAAUCGGAUCCUAAGAUUGUUUAUACACAAAUAAUAAGUUAAUCUUACAACCAAUCUAAUAAGUUACUCCAAUAAGGUGAAUAUUAAAUUGAUUACAAGACGGAAUCGAAAGACAUUACUAUGGAGUUUCUUGUUGCUAACCGAAAACCUAGAAUAAGUAAUGGAUACUAUAAUAAGAUUAGGUUACGUUUACGUUAAUAAGUUCUCUUACAUUUCUAAAGGGUUUUUUCUUUCUUUCUUUUUUUGUAAUGAUCCGAUACCCGUCAGCAUACUAACACUGUCACCACGAAUGAUACAACGGAAGUCGAAAUCCUAGUCAUGUACAAGAAGUGUAUGCACAAACACGCAGCAUCCAACAUGCUCCAAACCCUGUAAUAUGAGAGCAAUAAAUAUAGAUAAUCACACAUGCUCAACUCUACAUUUAAUAUUUUUUUUAUUUCAUGUUUUAAAGUUUGUGUUUAUUCUAUCAUCCUUAAAUUGAUUAAAUUUAGAUCUAACAAACAACCAAACAAUAGUUUGUUUUACAAACUUAUAUAUCAAUGGAAUAUAGAAUGAACAAAUUCUGCACUAAUGAACAUGGGCACAAAAUUAGCACAUUUAUGACUACAAAAAAGAAAAAAAAAAACAGUCUUAACUAAAUAACACACACACACACACACAUAUAUAUCUAUAUCCCUCGACAAAUAAACCGACCAAAUGCCAUUUUUCUUACAAGAACAAAUAUACCGAAGCUCGCUAAAAAUGUUUCACCAUAAAAAAAUCUAAAAGCACGAUCAAUUGCAUGUUCUAAUUGCACAAAAAAUGCACAAACUAUGCACCAAUCAACUUGACACAAAAUCAUCACAAGUUUCCGUUUGUACAUUCUCAUGAUGCAAACAUACUAUUGUUUCAGCUACUCUUGCUCGAACUUAAAUUAGAACACCAAAAAAUAAAUUGCGCAAAAGGUGGUCAACAAUAACCCAAGACAAUUCACCUGCACGUAAAAGAUAUUCUGUAUGUACUGAGAUGUAUAAAUCUCUGAUUUUCAAUUGUUUUUUUUUUAUUGAAAUUACACGAACGAAUGAGAUUACACGUAAAAAAAUAAAACUGCACUCUCAACACUCAUUUCACUGUCAAUAUAAACUCACCACUCCAUCAUUUCAUUUCACUCACCAUCUAAAAAAACACAUUAUGCAGUCAAAAUAGAAAAAAAAAGAGUGCAUGCACAACAUGCAGCCCCUAACAGAGGAUCCCGCGAGGCGGGGCUGCGGCCACAAAGAGAAUAACGAGGGGCCAAAGCGAAAUGGUCAAGGCCUUGACUGAGAGGAACAACUGGAAAAUGUUCCGGGAGUACUCUCAGGCUGAGGUUUUACGUAUUUGUUCCUAUUUCGGAAUAACUACACUGGUCCUCAAAAACUGCAUCUCUCUACACAGGCGAAAAAGCAAAGCUGCAAUAGAUCAACACUAGGGUUUUCGUUUUCGUUUUUCUUUCAGUUCCUAGGGUUAAAGGGAACUAGUAUUUGUUGUAAUAGAUGUAUUGUAUGUACUGAGAUGUAUACAUCUCUAGGUACAAUUAGUUAUAUAUUCAAUAGAAGAACCAUAGAUACUUCUCUUCAUUUCCUUGUCCAAAAUUCAACUACACUUGAGAUUCACAAAAUCAAUAUACAAUUACCUAUAGUAAUUAAAUUAUGAUAGAGCGAGCCGACAAUGCACUAAUAUUGCGCAUUGCGCUAAUAUUGCUUAAUACAACUAAAAACAUACUUCUUCCACCAUUCUAAUUUACACUAUUAUAAUCCACUCUUCGAAAUCAAGAAAAAAAAUUAUUUGUACCAAAAAUCUCUAGCAUGCUAACCUAAGAAGUUGUUGGUUAUAGAAAAAAAAUAUAUACCGAUAAAUGAAAAUAAAAUAAAAGAGACCAAAUAAAAUAACUUCAAUCGCUCCAAACUCACACAAAAAAUGCACAUAACAAGAUAUUCUAUAUGCACAAAUUCUGCAGCAAUCAACUUGACACAAAAUGAUCACAGUUUUCUGUUUUUACAUUCUCGUGAUACUAUUUUUUCAGCAACUCUUGCUCAACUUGUAUGAGAAGACCAAGAAAUGAAUUGCGCAAAAGGUGAUAAAGAAAUGCACUAACCUUAUCAUAAUUAAUAACCCAACUCAUUCCCUUUCUUUAUCUUCUUCUCCAGCUCAUUUCUUUCAUUAUUAAUAAAAAAAUGGCUACCAAUAACGUACAUCAAUAACCUAAGACAGUUAUCUUGCACGUAAGAAGAGUAUAACGAGGGCACAAAGUGAAACGGUGAGGGCUCUGUCUGAGAGGAACAACUGGAAUACGUUCCGGUGGUACUCUCAGGCAGAGGUUUUACGUAUUUGUUUCAAUUUCGGAAUAACUACACUGGCACUCAAAAACUGCAUCUCUCUACACAGCUGCAAUAGAUCAACAGUAGGGUUUCCGUUUUUCUUUUCCUUUUUUUUUUCAGUUCCUAGGUUUAAAGGGAAGCUAGCAAAAUUAAGAUAUAGCGGGAAAUGCACUAAUAUUGCACAUUGCGCUAAUAUUGCACAGUUCAACUAAUUUACAUUAUUACAAUUCAGUCUUCAGACCCUUCACAAUCAAGAAACGAAAUCAUUCGUACCAAACACCACUAUCUAGCAGCUUGUUAACCUAGACUACAAGUGUUAUACAAGCAAAAUAUGACAAUCACUACCAAUUAAAUACUAAUUCAAAUUAUCUUGGUUACUCUGUUUGGAGUUAAUAUUAUCACAGCUUCGUUCACCUAGAAUUCCCAAAUCGAUCUUCCAAUUUGUUUUCUCUCGACAUUUCUAUUUACGCAACCACGUGCUAGGUUAUUCUAUAUCAGUAUCUCUAACAGAGGAGUUGCCAAAAUCAUACGCUAAUGAAUCAUAUCCUAAGAUUGUUUUGUACACAAAUAAUAAGUUAAUCUUACAAGCAAUCUAACAAAGUCAUGAGAAUAUCAAGAAGACGUACCUAUAGAUCAUCAAAUUCAUUCAAGAAAAGGCAAAUGUGUGGUAAUUUUUACUACGGAAUUUCUUGAUGCUAGCUGCUACAAAGGAUUCGAUGUAGGCAUUAUUUUUUUUAUUUUUUUUUUAGAGAGAGAUGUAGGCAUUAUUUGAAUGCUAAGAAGAUAUAGGCAAGAACUGGAAAACCUAGAAUAAGUAAUAAUUACUACAAUAAGUUUAGGUUACGUUUACGUUAAUAAGUUCUCUUACAUUUCUAAAUGGUUUUUUUGUUUUUUCUUUUUUUUUUUCUUUUUUUUUUUUUUUUUGGGUUUUCUCUCUCUCUUUUUUGUAAUUUAACCUCAUUAAGGACAUAUUACGAACUAAUAAACGUUUGCAUGUAUGUACGUUUAUCUAUAUUAGCGAAUCAGAUUUUGAGAUAUUCAUGCUUUAGAGUCGUACCCGGGUUAUUUCUACAUUCCUCACUUCCUAGUACAUCCUCUGUCCUUCUCAUCAACAAUGCCGAAAACCAGUUAUUCAUCGGUAUUGACUUUGAAUAUCUGCACACCGUAAAUCAUAUACAAUUACCAACUGAAUGAGAAAAUUCAAAUGUACAAUCUUAGUAUGUAUGUUUUAGUAGAGAGGAUCAAGAACUUACUAAUCUUACAUUCUGCUAACAGCUGUAAAAUGAAAUAUUGUUAAACGAGGCAAAAAGACAGUUAAAUAGAACAAAAGGUGAAACGAAAAACGGAUAUUAUAUUAUAAAUGUAAUAGUUAGCCAAAAAAAUAAAAUUGAAAAUUAAAAAUCGAAUCAAUAAUUGAAAUCUCGUAUAUAUUCCAAUUCCUACAAAAACAAUACAAAAUUUGAAAAAAAAAAUCAAAAUAAAAAAUGAAAAAUAUUAUUCCAAAAUAAAAAUAUUAAAAAUUAAUAUAUGUGGUUCGAAUUAGAGGAAAAUCAAAAAUUUCGUUCUAAUUUGCAUCCUCAUUCACAAAAUCUCUUUAACUAUAAUUGUAUUGCACAAAAAAGCAUUAUUCUUAAUUGCAAUAAAGUUCGGAAGUUAAGAACGGUCGGAGUUAUCGGAAGAUGACGGAUUUUUUCCGACCGAUAACAUGUUGCAUUUAUUUAUUUGUUUCCAAUUAUCUUUAAGUUUAAACUAAAUAGCAAUUAAUACGUAUAACCAAUGAUGAUGCGUAAAGGAUUUACGAUUUACCCUAGCCAAAACUACGUGGCUGCGUGUCCCUAAUGAUCACGAGAGCUUAUCGACAUAAAUGGUAAAUUUAACGAACAACGUAAAUACCGACCAACGGUUCAUAGUUUAGGAGGCAAAAAUAUUAUUUACCCUAAUAAUGAUUGUUAUUCCAACGGUCAUUUAUUUCUUAUUUUCGUGAUAAGGAAUAAUAUCUUAAUCAGUCGAUAUUUACCUACAAAUAUUUACAGUAAGAAGUAAAAAAUGAGUAAAAUUGUAUAAGAAAAUAUUUACCUACAAAUAUUAUAUUUGACUGAUAUUAAGUCAAAAUCAUAGAUUACUGUAAAACAAAAUGUUAUGAUGUCUUCAUGAUUGUGACGUCAUAAUUAAAUGAAAUUAAUAAAAUCUGAUCCUGCAAAGUUAUCUUUGACUGCAAAAUCAAUAUUUAUGCAUUACUAUUCAAAACUCAAAUCUGAGUCUGUAAUAUGAUUUUAAAUUAUAAAAUACAUUCGUUUGAAUUUUAUAAAGAAAGUAAAUAGAGUGAACAUAUAUAUUACGAGUCUGAAUAGAAUUUAAUGAAAAUCUAUUUUAUGGAUUAAACGUAAUUAAAUAAUAAGUACAUUAAAAAAACAAAUUAAAAGCAAAAGUUUAUAUAACAUAUAAUUUAAUCCAACCAAAAAUGGGAAAAACUUAAAUUGUAUUGCUAAAUGUUUAAUGAAAAUAUUUUUAAUAAAAAGAAAAAGAAAAAGAAAAUCCCAUUUCAGUAUUUCAGUAAGUAAAUCACUAAAUCUGGAAUACAGAUAUCAAGAAUUGAAAUCCAAUACAGGAAUAAGACUACACCUCAACCCUCAUUUCACUCUAUAUAAACUCACCACUCUCCUUCAUUUCAUUUCACUCACCAUGGAAAAAACACACACUGCAGUCAAAAAGAAAAAAAAAAAGAAAAAAAAAGAAAAAAAAACAUUCUGCAUUCUUGAAAAGAAAUGGCGACUGACAAUGCAUUGAAAGUGGAAAUGCUAGUAAUGUACAAAGAGUGCAUACACAACCAUGCAGCCUCCAACAGAGGAUUUCUCCUCGACGGCUGCGGCCUCUUCGAGGGCCCUAGCGGCACCACCACCGGGUCCCGCGAGGCCAUGCUCUGUGCUGUCUGCGGCUGCCACCGCAACUUCCACCAGAGAGUCGUAGUGGAAAUUCCGCAACACCACCGCUCCUCCUCCAUCCGCCACCAACAAUAACAACAACAACAGCCUCGCACCCCGACCAACAACAACAGCCCACUUUGCACCCCCACCAACCACAACAGCCCGCCUCGCACCCCCACCAACCACAACAGCCUGCCUCGCACCACCAGGAGGCAGCGGCAGAGGCACCAUGAUCAUUCGCCGCGAACCAGCCUCUGCACCAGGCCGCUUCGCUCCCGAGCAGGCGGCGGUUCGUCGGCAGAGGCGGGCCCCACAUCGACAUGCGGAGGGCACUUCUGCUGCACCACAGGGAGUGCCACCUCAACAUGGGGUGCGUGCCCCCCGCAGAAAGAGAAUAACGAGGGCCCAAAGCGAAAUGGUGAGGGCCUUGACUGGGAGGAACGACUGGAAAAUGUUCCGGGAGUACUCUCAGGCUGAGGUUUUACGUAUUUGUUCCGAUUUCGGAAUAACUACACUGGCCCUAAAAAACUGCAUCUCUCUACACAGGCGAAAAAGAAAAGCUGAAAUAGAUCAACACUAGGGUUUUCGUUUUAGUUUUUUUUUUCGGUUCCUAGGUUUAAAGGGAACUAGAGUUUCUUGUGUAAUAGAUGCAUUGUAUGUGCUGAGAUGUAUACAUCUCUGAUUUACAAUUCGUCUUUUUUUUUUUUUUUUAAUUGAAGUAAGAGCUUCGGAUCUCAACUUAUUCAUCCAACUGAAAUUAGAUCUUAUCGUUUAUAUCGUUGGAAAAGUUGUAGAAUCCGUUGCUAACGAACAUUAAUUAAGGUAGGAGUAAAACGGAAAGUACUUGUAGAGUACUAGUUAUCUUACGUACUCUCUAACUCCUAUAGACGACCAGGCCCGUUAAUUUCUUGCCAUCUAAGGUAUUAAAUAAAUCGAUUAAAUAUUUGCAGACCAAAUUUUAGUGCCUUUUAACUCCGACGACGCGACAACCAUUAUUUCUUUGUGCAUAUGUCGAACUCUGAAUAAAACCCUAUUUAAGCUUCACUGAUAGGGCUUCAGUAAAUUUAAGCUUCGUGAGAACAUGUAUAAAAGGUUGCUAUUUAUAAGUUUCUGCCGCUUUUUAGUACACUGCUUAUUCGUGUGCUUACCAAAUCUUAUACUGCAAUCAGUUACCGUUAUAUUGAUCGUACAAGAUUUUUUCGGAAUUUUCUUUGACGCAACUCAUCAGUAAGUUAUUUUGUUUUCUUUCUAAAAGUUGUCUCUAGACAGUCAUUAAUGUAGUGUACGAAAAUUGACGAGGCGACUCUAAAUGACCGGAAAAUGUGUAAUAAUCAGUUAGCUAAGAUCUAAGACCGCAUAAUUUAUAACGUGUUCUGGGAGAUAACAUGUCAAUUAAUAUCCCCAUGCAUGCAAUCAUAUAACACGGAAGAUGAGGACACCUUACGACUGUAAGGGUUAUAAUUAAAUUCAUUUAUAUAACGCGUUCAACUUUUUGCAAAAUAAACUAACAAAAGGUAAAGUCAUUUAUAGAAGCCGAUUCUUACUUCGGUAGUAUUUUCACCAUACACAAGUUAUAUUGCCAUUUAAAGAAAGAAAAAAUGCUGACUUGAAUCGACGAUAUGGAAAUUCACUUUUAACAAAUCUAUAUUAAAACUGGGAAUAAAAGAUAGAAUGAUAAGAAAGCAAACCUGCACAAACGGGAGCAGGACUGAAUAACAACUUCAUUAGGAGCUCGCCUGAAGUAUCUAGCUCAAGAAGCAGUACAAAAUGAACAUGAAAAUCUCGUAGUUAUGAAAGAGCACAUAUAGAAACUGAUAUGAGUACGACGACUAAUGUUAAAUUAACUAAUUAACUUUUAAUUGGUUGGAGUAGGAAGAGUCAAUUUACGUAUACUACACGCAUAUUUAUUCAACUGGCAGUAUUAUAUCCAUGUUCUUUGGCUUACAACAACCCAGCUUGUUUCACAUAAAUCAUCAAUGGAUUUUAAGUUAAUCACUCUCUUUAAUAUACAUAUUUCCAGCCAACAAAUUCUAUCUUAACAUAUAUAAAGAUUACCAACAUAUAAAACUCUAAAGAAAAACUUGUCCCAACAAAAAUGCGUAAGGUUUUCUACUUGAAUUCGAAUACAAAUAUGUGUAAUAUAAAAAUAUAUCUAUAAUCCUCCAGUUUUUGUAUCAAUCUCCACGUGUAUGAACUUUAGUCAGGAUGUGAGACUGAAAUUUAUUACGACUUCCUUUAUAAGUUGAAUUCACAGUAUUAUACUGCAGUCACCCUUAUAUUCAUCGUAUCAGAUUUUCAAAAUUUUCUUUCGACAUAACUCAGUAAGUCAUAUUUACCGAGCUAGUACGACAACAAGGAGAAUAAAAUCGACGACCGCAUAAUUUAUAACUGAAUAUGAAUGCUUUUACGUGUUCUGGAAGAUAAUAUAUAUAUAUAUAUAUAUAUAUAUAUAUAUAUAUAUAUAUUAAAAUAUUCCCAUGCAUGCAAUCAUAUAACACCAAAGACGAGGACACCACGUUUAUGAGAAAGUUAAAUAUCCAUGCUUUGGAUUAGCGAAGAGAUCAAUUCGUUUGAUGAGAAAAAAUACAUAUAGAGGGUGAUAGAAGUUGGAUAUCGACUAAGGUCAAACUAACUUUUAAUCGGUCAGAGUACGAAGAGUCAAUUUACGUGUACUACACGUAAUAACCUUGAUAAUAGUCAUUAGCAUAUUUACGGCAACUGCACAACCAACGAAAAUUUAAUCGUGUUAACAAGAUUAAAGCAUCUUGGUAUGAGACAAUUGAUCGGAUGCAAAGUCGAUGAAAAAUGUGUUUCAGUAUAAAUUAAAGUGAAUUUGUAUCCCUGUUUGUUUCAUAUAAAUCAUCGACAGAUUUCAAUUUAAGCUCUCCCUUCUGUACAGAUAUUUUCAGCCAACAAAAUCUAAAUAUAGAUACGACAAGAUCACCAACAUAGAAACUUCAGGAGAAAAAAUAGUACCCAAAGUAACUGAUGAGGUUUUUCGACUCGAGUUCAAAUAAAAAUAUGCCUAAUUCAAUGAUAUUUUAGUUUCUAUCUCCACGUGUAUGAACUGAAGUUCCGGUGUAAUUAUGAGUUACAUAAACCGAACCUUUCAUCGAUCCAACCAUAUAUAUGUUCCUAUACUCGAUUCCAGUUCUUAACUAGGAUUUAUACGAGACCGUGCUGGGUUAGCAUAAUAUUUUGACAAGCUUCCGAAAUCCCAAAACCUAUAAUCUACACAGCAUUGUCGAGAUCUAACGAAAUAGUUAACCAAAAUUACAGCCACAAACAACUUUCUUCACAUUUGGAAAUCAUUAAAUUACAUACUCCAAAAUUCGAAAAACACAACAUACCUGCUCCAAAUGGAUGAUCUAACAAUUAAUAUUUGGCCGACUUAUUAGCAUCGAUGAGCUGAUCUCGUGCUUUACCAAAGAUAAUAAGUAUAUAUUGAUCGAAAAAAAAUCUUCCAAAUUCCACAAAAAUCAACUGC